rnacentral:rRNA from 1 species
UGGGGGAAAUUAAGAUGACCCGGUCUACCACCGGGAUGUUCAUAACCCUUUGUUGUCCGACUCUGUUGCCUCCGGGGCGACCCUGCCUUCGGGCGGGGGCUCCGGGUGGACACUUCAAACUCUUGCGUAACUUUGCAGUCUGAGUAAACUUAAUUAAUAAAUUAAAACUUUUAACAACGGAUCUCUUGGUUCUGGCAUCGAUGAAGAACGCAGCGAAAUGCGAUAAGUAAUGUGAAUUGCAGAAUUCAGUGAAUCAUCGAAUCUUUGAACGCACAUUGCGCCCCCUGGUAUUCCGGGGGGCAUGCCUGUUCGAGCGUCAUUUCACCACUCAAGCCUCGCUUGGUAUUGGGCAACGCGGUCCGCCGCGUGCCUCAAAUCGACCGGCUGGGUCUUCUGUCCCCUAAGCGUUGUGGAAACUAUUCGCUAAAGGGUGCUCGGGAGGCUACGCCGUAAAACAAACCCAUUUCUAAGGUUGACCUCGGAUCAGGUAGGGAUACCCGCUGAACUUAAGCAUAUCAAUAAGGCGGAGAGAUCAUUACAAGUGACCGGUCUACCACC